UUUGUGCGUAUGCUCUUGAAUGGCUUC
rnacentral:sRNA from 1 species